rnacentral:rRNA from 1 species
UACGUAGGGGGCUAGCGUUGUCCGGAAUCAUUGGGCGUAAAGCGCGUGUAGGCGGUCCGGUAAGUCCGCUGUGAAAGUCGAGGGCUCAACCCUCGAAUGCCGGUGGAUACUGUCGGGCUUGAGUACGGGAGAGGCGAGUGGAAUUCCUGGUGUAGCGGUGAAAUGCGCAGAUAUCAGGAGGAACACCGAUUGCGAAGGCAGCUCGCUGGGACGUAACUGACGCUGAGACGCGAAAGCGUGGGGAGCAAACAGG